rnacentral:rRNA from 1 species
ACUCCUACGGGAGGCAGCAGUAAGGAAUAUUGCGCAAUGGACGAAAGUCUGACGCAGCGGCGCCGCGUGGGGGAUGAAGGUCUUCGGAUUGUAAACCCCUUUCGGGAGGGAAGAUGGAGUGGGUAACCACUUGGACGGUACCUCCAGAAGCAGCCACGGCUAACUUCGUGCCAGCAGCCGCGGUAAUUCGAAGGUGGCAAGCGUUGUUCGGAUUCACUGGGCGUACAGGGAGCGUAGGCGGUUGGGUAAGCCCUCCGUGAAAUCUCCGGGCCUAACCCGGAAAGUGCAGAGGGGACUGCUCAGCUAGAGGAUGGGAGAGGAGCGCGGAAUUCCCG